rnacentral:rRNA from 1 species
UACGUAGGGGGGCAAGCGUUGUCCGGAUUUAUUGGGCGUAAAGAGCGUGUAGGCGGCCAGACAGGUCCGUUGUGAAAACUCGAGGCUCAACCUCGAGAUGUCGAUGGAAACCGUCUGGCUAGAGUCCGGAAGAGGAGUGUGGAAUUCCUGGUGUAGCGGUGAAAUGCGCAGAUAUCAGGAAGAACACCUAUGGCGAAGGCAGCACUCUGGGACGGUACUGACGGCUGAGACGCGAAAAGCGUGGGGGAGCGAACAGGGAUAGAA